AAAAAUAAAUAUAAAAUUGAACACGGUGUCUUAUAUGAAAAUGUUUUAAGCAUCGUGUUUAACUCCAAAUCUUGGACUCAGGGGUCAUAUCUAUCGCAGCUCUCUUCCUCUCAUUCCCCACCCACUUUCCCAAUUUAUGACCCACAUACAGUGGGGGAGGGGAGAUUCCUUUUCCUCCCGUGUGUUUCCUAAGCACUGCACGCUGCCCUGGCAGAUUUGCACACUUUAGACCAGCUAGCACAGAGUCUCCCCAGAUGGGUAGAUAACAUGGAAAUCAUUUCAACAGAAACGCACAAUGGUUAUUUGAACAAUGGGCUCCCCUUUCACUGUAGGUCUGUGAAGAGCUGGGCUUGGUGUGCCAUCCAGCUGUGUGACCCAUUCAGCUUGCAAGUGUCAAGCAGGAAAUUAAAAGUACUUCUAUUUCUGUUUUCAAGGAUGGAUAUCUGCAAGAUUUAAUGAAACAAAACCCUUCUGUUUUCUAGAAGCUUGCUUAUGAGCAGUAUGAUCGGUUGGAACCAUUUUCUCCUUAAUUUUGACUCCAACAUCCAAUUUGCCUUUAAUUUGCCAGCUACCCCUUGGCCUAUAUGAGAUCCAGGCAGCAGAUUAACUUUUACAAAAUGCAUGCCCUCAAAUAUCUGAAAGUGCUUAUUUAAGUGGUAACCAUGGUGUAUAUUGAAAAUAGAAAAAUAGGUCACAAAUAUUUCCUUAGGGGAGGGGGAAGACCAUAUGAAAAUCAACAUGCUCACAGGCUUCCCAAAAUCUAGGUCAGGGAUCAUGACUGUAACUAAUUCUUUGGUAAGUCAGACUAAUUUAUAAGGAGAUACAUUUUUAAUAUUUCAGUGUUUUUCAAGCUACCUUAUAGUCUCUGAUUAUGGCCACAGAGCUGUUAAUCUUUGCCAUUGUGUUUUCAUAUACUAAAAAGUCAGAUGCAUUCGACUAUAAUUGAGUUUUUUAGAUAGGCGUAAUCACCCCUGUCCGAGAAAUCAGUCCACACAGUCUGCGUGCCUUUCAGAACCCAACGAAUCACAAGAGAUCACGUUUUCACUGAAUCUUGGUGAGACAUUUCCAACGGCAAACUGCUUUCUGGAGAGUGUACCAGGAGCUGCUGUGGCGUCUGAAAAUGAGCAGCUCCUGGGGGGAUUUGUGCAGCUUUCUUUCAAGUCCUAGACUUCACAUCAAAGAUCCAAAGCCUGAGCUUCUGGACAAGGCUGCACCUCCUUCACUCCUGGCAUUUGUAUCGGAAGCUGGGUAUGACCCUGCCAAGGUCUGGAUGAAAGACAGAGUGAGGAGGAGAUGCACGUUCUCAGAUACAUGCUGGAAUGCAGGCCUCUCGAGGUUACUGCCACUGACAAAUGCUGGUUAAUGUUCUUCAUCGCAAGAUUUCUGAAGCUUGCGGGCAAGGCCGCAGAAGCAGAAGAGCCAUUCUUGAGUGUUGAGAACAGUUACCUGAGUGCCGGUAAUGCAGGAAAUAAUUUUAACCCCUUCAAGCAUUACUCUUUUCAUCAUUUUGCUAGAUAUUUUUAGAUAUCAUUCACCUUUGUUCCUUUACAAUUUAGUCCACAAAUGGAGAAAUUGAUCAAUUAUGUUCGUCAAAGAGGAGGCAAUGAUUUUCAUCCAUGCCUCAAACUGUAUUUUAAUGACAAGAAGCAGGAAAUUGAUGGGAGUCAAUGUAGAAUGAAUGAACACUAAGAGGUGUCGUUUUUUGGGGGAAAAAGGAUUGUU